AACGUGCAAGUUAUUAGCAACCUGAUGGAGGGUUAAGGGAAACGUUGAGGGAACACCCACCAAUGUUUCAAAACAGGGAGCCUAAGGGAUGGCCAGUGGAAAGAAGGCAGAAGGAUGGAAGAAUCUAUGAGGUGUGACUUUAAAAUAGAUACCAUGUUUCUUAUCUGAGUUGUGUUCGGCUCUCCUGCCCUGGUGCUACCUUUUAGGUUUGUUUUCUUCCCCAUCUCCCGUGUCUUCAAACCAACGUUCAAUGAAUUUGUUAGCACACUUUGGAGGCCAGAACAACAGUCACAGCCCCCAAAAUGAUCAACAGAGCAGAUUCCAGUGAUCGAUCGAUCAGCAUUCUGUAGCCCAAAGUGGGGAGAAUGAUAGAAGGCAUGUCUUUCUGUAUUUUAUCAGGGCCUUGGGCACUAGGGCUUGAUGAUUAAGCCAGAGGAUUGCUUCUCAGCCCUAAGCAUUCUCCUAGAGGCCUUCUCCCCUGGCACACGUCAAAGGUGGGAC